rnacentral:rRNA from 1 species
AAAUUGAAGAGUUUGAUCAUGGCUCAGAUUGAACGCUGGCGGCAGGCCUAACACAUGCAAGUCGAACGGUAACAGGAAGAAGCUUGCUUCUUUGCUGACGAGUGGCGGACGGGUGAGUAAUGUCUGGGAAACUGCCUGAUGGAGGGGGAUAACUACUGGAAACGGUAGCUAAUACCGCAUAACGUCGCAAGACCAAAGAGGGGGACCUUCGGGCCUCUUGCCAUCGGAUGUGCCCAGAUGGGAUUAGCUUGUUGGUGGGGUAACGGCUCACCAAGGCGACGAUCCCUAGCUGGUCUGAGAGGAUGACCAGCCACACUGGAACUGAGACACGGUCCAGACUCCUACGGGAGGCAGCAGUGGGGAAUAUUGCACAAUGGGCGCAAGCCUGAUGCAGCCAUGCCGCGUGUAUGAAGAAGGCCUUCGGGUUGUAAAGUACUUUCAGCGGGGAGGAAGGGAGUAAAGUUAAUACCUUUGCUCAUUGACGUUACCCGCAGAAGAAGCACCGGCUAACUCCGUGCCAGCAGCCGCGGUAAUACGGAGGGUGCAAGCGUUAAUCGGAAUUACUGGGCGUAAAGCGCAC